CCCACCCUCUGUAUGGAAGCCCCUGUUUGGGUGCGUAGAUGGGUCACAAAAGCCCAAUCUGAUUUGGCAACAUACUGCAAUGUCAAUUAGACCUGCUUCAGCUGUGAAAUAGAUACUGGACAGCCCACCUUUCAGGAUGCUUCUUUGCUGUUAUUUUUACAUCUUACAUUUUCAAAACAUGAAAACCCAAACUGGAAAAUUAUUAGCAGCAGACAACAAUUUACAGAGAGACUCUUCCCUGGAAGGAGGAGCUUUUCUCAAAGGAGCUUCCCUGGAAGGAAAGUGCUUCCUGCAACUCCAGCCUUCCCCAAGAAGAGCUUUCACCAGAAUGAUCUUUAUCAGAUUUGCCAGGGUCCCAACGCCUCUACUGGUUCUUACUAGCAUCAACUCAAAGAAACCAUCCUCCUCAAAUCCUCACUGGAGUCAGCUUUUGUGGAACUCAACUAAAGACACUAUGGAACUGUGAAGUGUCCCCUGCUCCUAAGUGGGUGACAUGCUUGCAAGAUGCUUCAAAGAUGGGUCUGAGUAAUGUUCAUCCACUGGCUCCAGAAUCUCAACACUGCAUUACGGUGCUGGCUGGCAGGACUCUUCAGGAACUAUUUCCUUGGGUGUUUCCAACAAUCUCUUAAUUACUGUGUGCCAUCACUUCAUCCUUGUCACCUCCACAAACUGAAGCCUGAUAUCAGUCCUUGCUUGAAACUCUUUUCUCCCUUGUUUAAGGUUCUUCCACUACUGUCUUUCCUUUGUAGAACUUUCUCUGGAUCCCUCUUAAAUGCCUGU